AAAACCUAGACCUUAGACAAAUGAGAUCAGAUAUUAGAGAAAAGAAAAAUCAGAUUCUCUCUUACAAAAAACGAAAACGGCGCAUCUGAGUUCCGGUUCUUCUCCAUUUUUUCCUUCUUCUUAUCCAUUCUCACUUUGGCUCUAAUACACACUUCUCCUUAACACACACACACACACACCGCGUUGAAGCCUCUAGCAACAAGUGGGAAUUACAAAGUUUAGAGCUAAAAUUAAAAGAUUGCAAAGCUGAUUUUCAGUUUCAAAUCCUUGUCUUCUCUCACAUUUUUUGGGGAUUUCAGAGCUUGGUGGAGCUUUAGAACUUGUUUUGAAGCUGAGAGAUUGAUAUAAAUUCCAGUCAUUGUUUGAUUCCGCUAAUUUUUACUGUUUCUGGAAUUGCUGAGCUCCAAUUGGGUUGGUUUUCUAUCUUUAGUCGAUUUAUUCAAGUUUUCUUUGUUUACCAAGUUAGUUUGAAACUUCUCUGUAUUAUUCUUUUAGUAAGUGAUUAAAUAGUUGAUUUCCUGCUUAGCAUUGAAGAUCUUGUGUUAUUUUCAUGAAACAUGAUGCCUAUUGAAUUAAUUUGGUCACCUGCUACGUUUUUUUUCAUUAAUACAAGCUUUAAUCCUUAGGUUUGUGUAAAUAGUGUAAUAAUUUCAUUAAUCGACUAUGAGGAUUGAUUUUAUUAUUUACUCUACAUACAUCGCUUACAGGAUGGCAGCUCCUUCCCUUAUGCCCCUCAGAAAAGCAAGAACUACUGCUAAAUCAGAAGGAGUGUAUAGGACUAGAGUCUGGUCUUUUAGCAUUUAACCCUUUUAUGCCAAUGAUUUUGAUGUUCAAAAAGCAAUUACACGAAGGAGGUUUUUCUUAAACAGAUUUUUGAGUGGAAUACGUAGUGAGAUAUAUAUAGAAAGAAAAUUUGUGUAUCUUAAACACAUUUGAAAAAUAUUUGUAAUAUCCGUUGUUCAUAUCUUCUACUGCUUAUUGCUACUCGAAGAGGGUAAAUAAAAAUAUUCUUGUUGGUAUAUUAGGGUAAUUUGAUAUUAGUUGCAAAGACAUUACGUCUUGCAUUCAGAGAUUUCAAAUUACGCUCCAAGCAUGCUUGUUAACAGAGAAAGAGCAGAAUAUAAUUAAUAAGAUAUUGGAUGGUAAAUCUCUAAUUUUUGAAAUUGCAGUAUGUAUCGAGGAAACUCUAUUUCCUUCUUGAAAAUUGCAGCAGUUCAAAUGUAAAUAAUGCAAUUGCAGCAUUUAAGCAUUCCAUUCUUUUAGCUGUCGUGACCAAGUCUUAGCAACUUUGUCUUUGUGAUAUGAUUUGUACUUCUGAAAGUUCCUAACUGACAGAACAAUUUAAACAUCCAUUCAAGUACAUAUUUUUAAUGCAUAAGGAAGGUGAGUUUUACCUACAAGCUGUAUGGAGCAUUCUUGAACUAGUUAGGCGUAAAUUUCAUUUGCUUGCCUAUGUGAAGUUUGAUGAGGCUUCUUAUUUGUUGCAGAUUUUUCACCCAGUGGAACCAAAUAAUGAAACUUCUUAUUAGUUUACUAGCUUAUUUUUUUGAGAUUUAAGGCAGAGCUUAUUGUAAUUCAACUUCUUUGUAGAUAUUAAUUAAUGGACAUCGUAGCUUGCAUUAGGCGUGAUUAAAUAAAUCAUCACAACUACGGGUAUGGUUCCCGUGGCGUAGUUGUAAUACCUAAUUUCAAAUUAGAUUUAAAUAGGAGCAUCCUUAGUUUGCUUUAGUGAAAUACAAAUCUUUUAAAGAUAAAUCGAG
rnacentral:lncRNA from 1 species